GACGAACGCUGGCGGCGUGCUUAACACAUGCAAGUCGAACGGAAAGGCCCUGCUUUUGUGGGGUGCUCGAGUGGCGAACGGGUGAGUAACACGUGAGUAACCUGCCCUUGACUUUGGGAUAACUUCAGGAAACUGGGGCUAAUACCGGAUAGGAGCUCCUGCUGCAUGGUGGGGGUUGGAAAGUUUCGGCGGUUGGGGAUGGACUCGCGGCUUAUCAGCUUGUUGGUGGGGUAGUGGCUUACCAAGGCUUUGACGGGUAGCCGGCCUGAGAGGGUGACCGGGCACAUUGGGAUUGAGAUACGGCCCAGAGUGCUACGGGAGGCAGCAGUGGGGAAUAUUGCACAAUGGGCGGAAGCCUGAUGCAGCAACGCCGCGUGCGGGAUGACGGCCUUCGGGUUGUAAACCGCUUUCGCCUGUGACGAAGCGUGAGUGACGGUAAUGGGUAAAGAAGCACCGGCUAACUACGUG
rnacentral:rRNA from 1 species